GUUUCCAACUUUUGUAAAUCCUGCCGUCUAUGAGCCCCAACCAGAUCCACUGUAUGAAUCCUCAGCGGUUCACCAACACAUGGUUGACUAAAGCAGCAGCUCCAUGCUAACUAUGAAGACACACGUUCACACCGUGUUUGGCUGUGUGACGGGCCAAACAGCCAUGACGACAGCAGCAGCAGCAGCAGCAGCACAAAGCGUCGCCACCUCAUGUCUGAUGAUGACAGCUUCUACCCUGUGGCCGUUUCCACAACUGUCGAGCCGCUUUCAUCUCCAGCAAGAGAGAGAGAGCAAGCAAAGUCACAGCGUCAGCCGUCCACACAGAGACCGACUCAAGGCAAAUGAUCCGCUUCUUCUUCUUCUUCUUCAUGGAGCAACGCCGCUGCUUCUGCCUGCAGCUGAUCUCACAGCUUUUAAUCACAUCAAUCUGUCUCACACGCUUUUUAAUAACUGGGUUAAUCAAAGGCACCUCCAAAUUAUUGCGUGACCCACAUGGACGCCACUAUGAAACCUCCUGGAAAAGGUUUGCACUUAGAAAUGGAGAGUAGUUUGUAAACAAAGUGGGCUUGAGCUUAAACUGUCGCUGGUUGCCAUGGUUACCCGCAUUAAACCUGCUGUUUUAACAUUAGCCAGAAUGUUGUCGGCGUCCUACAACCGUUUAUCACAGUUAUAGUGAAAUAAGCUAUGCUACCAAAUUGACAUUUGUGAAUGAGAAACGUCUUAAUGACCCAAAAGUGUCACAUGCAGGUGAGUGGAUAAAUAAGAAAAAAAUAUAUAUUAUUGUUUGCUUUCUGCGUGACUUUGACUGAUAAUCCCUCCAUAGAUAAAUCAAAUUCAAUUAAAACAUUUUUUUUACUGAUCCCAAAGGGAAAUUACACAUUAUUACACACUGUGCCACUGUUGCCUGUAAUAAAAAAAAUAAA